UUGUCUUUUAAUUAAGGACUGGAAUGAAAGGUUUGACUAUGUAUUUCUGUCUUAUAAUAAUAUUUUGAAAUUUAUAUUUUAGUAAAAAAGCUAAAAUUAUCUAUAGGGACGAGAAGACCCUAUCAAGUUUUACAAUCCAGAAUUUAUUUUCAAAUUAAAUUUUAAAUUGUUUUGCUGGGGCAGCAGGUAAAAAUUUUUUAUUUUAAAAUUAUGAUAAAUAAAUCUUGAAAAAUCAAAAAAUUUUUAAUUAAAAAUAAAUUACUGUAGGGAUAACAGCAUAAUUUUUUUAGAGAGUUCUUAUCAUCAAAAAAGUUUGUGACCUCGAUGUUGGAUUAAAAUUCCUGAUUCGUGCAAUAAUGAAAUAA
rnacentral:rRNA from 1 species